GACGAACGCUGGCGGCGUGCUUAACACAUGCAAGUCGAACGGAAAGGUGCUGCUUUUGUGGCGUUGUCGAUUGGCGAACGGGUGAGUAACACGCGUGGAUCCUCCCCCUGUCUGUGGGAGAACUUUAGGGAACUCCGGCGAAUACCCCAUAGGAUCUCCUGCUGCAUGUUGGUGGUUGGAAAGUUUCGGCGGUUGUGGCUGGACUCGCUGCUUAUCAGCUGGUUUGUGUGGUAGUGGCGUACCAAGGCUUCGACGGGUAGCCGGCCUGGGAGGGUGACCGGGGUCAAUGGGACUGCGAUAGGCCCCAGAAUCCUACGGGAGGCAGUAGUCGGGAAUAUUGCACAAUGGGGGGACGCGUGAUGCAGCAGCGCCGCGUGCGGGAUGACGGCCUUCGGGUUGUAAACAGCUUUCGCAUGUGCCGAAGCGUGCGUGACGGUACUGGGUCAAGAAGCAACGGCUAACUACGUG
rnacentral:rRNA from 1 species